AGAGUUUGAUCCUGGCUCAGGGUUAACGCUGGCGGCGUGCCUUACACAUGCAAGUCGAACGGGGCUAUCAGCGAUGGUAGCUUAGUGGCGAACGGGUGAGGAAGACGCAGGGACCUACCGACCAGAGGGGGAUACCCGCUGGAAACGGCGGAUAAAACCGCAUACGCCCGGGUGAAAGCCCGGGGAAAAGCACUACGGUGUUACUGGACGAGGGACCUGCGGCCCAUCAGGUAGUUGGGGAGGUAACGGCUCACCAAGCCGACGACGGGUAUCUGGCGUGAGAGCGCGAACAGGCACAAGGACACUGAGAGACGGGUCCUACUCCUACGGGAGGCAGCAGUGGGGAAUAUUGGACAAUGGGCGAAAGCCUGAUCCAGCGACGCCGCGUGUCGGAAGGAGUCCUUCGGGAUGUAAACGACUUUUGGUGGAGGCGAAUAAGCAGCUCAGGGAAUGGGGCUGUGAUGACGGUAUCCAUGGAAUAAGCCCCGGCUAACUACGUGCCAGCAGCCGCGGUAAGACGUAGGGGGCAAGCGUUACCCGGAAUUACUGGGCGUAAAGGGAGCGUAGGCGGGAGGUCAAGUCCGGUGUGAAAGACCCUGGCUCAACCAGGGAUGAGGGCUGGAAACUGACAAUCUUGAGUACAGCAGAGGAAGAGGGAAUUACCGGUGUAGGGGUGAAAUCCGUAGAGACCGGUAAGAAGGCCAGUGGCGAAGGCGCUUUUCUGGGCUGUUACUGACGCUGAGGCUCGAAAGCCAGGGGAGCAAACCGGAUUAGAUACCCGGGUAGUCCUGGCCGUAAACGAUGCUCACUAGGUGUGGGGCGCAUAGCGUGCUCUGCGCUGAAGCAAACGCAAUAAGUGAGCCGCCUGGGGAGUACGUCCGCAAGGAUGAAACUCAAAGGAAUUGACGG
rnacentral:rRNA from 1 species